rnacentral:rRNA from 1 species
AUUGAACGCUGGCGGCAGGCCUAACACAUGCAAGUCGAGCGUGAAAGUCCUUCGGGAUGAGUAAAGCGGCGGACGGGUGAGUAACGCGUAGGAAUCUACCUAAUAGUGGGGGAUAACGUUUCGAAAGGAACGCUAAUACCGCAUACGUUCUGAGGAAGAAAGCAGGGGAUCGCAAGACCUUGCGCUAUUAGAUGAGCCUGCGUCCGAUUAGCUAGUUGGUGGGUAAAGGCCUACCAAGGCGACGAUCGGUAACUGGUCUGAGAGGAUGAUCAGUCACACUGGAACUGAGACACGGUCCAGACUCCUACGGAGGCAGCAGUGGGAAUAUUGGACAAUGGGGCGAACCCUGAUCCAGCCAUGCCGCGUGUGGGAAGAAGGCCUUCGGUUGU